rnacentral:rRNA from 1 species
UUUUAAAUGGCCGCAGUAUUUUGACUGUGCAAAGGUAGCAUAAUCAUUAGUUUUUUAAUUAAAAGCUUGUAUGAAAGGCUGGACGAGGUAAAAUCUGUCUCUAUUUAAAUUAUAGUAGAAUUUAACUUUUAAGUUAAAAGGCUUAAAUAUCAUUAAAAGACGAGAAGACCCUAUAGAUCUUUAUAGUUUAUUAAAUUAAAUUAAUUUAGAAAUAUUAAUGUUUUAUUUAAUUAAAUUAUUUUAUUGGGGUAAUAAAAAGAUUGAGUUAAUUCUUUUUUACAAUAAACAUUAAUUUAUGAAUAUUAAUGAUCCAGUUUUACUGAUUAUAAGAUUAAGUUACCUUAGGGAUAACAGCGUAAUUUUUUUAGAGAGUUCAUAUCGAUAAAAAAGUUUGCGACCUCGAUGUUGGAUUAAAGAUUAUUUUAGGUGUAGAAGCUUAAUAAUUUUGGUCUGUUCGACCAUUAAAUCUUUACAUGAUCUGAGUUCAGACCGGCGUAAGCCAGGUCGGUUUCUAUCUUUAAUAAAAUAAAAUAUUUUAGUACGAAAGGACCAAAUAUUUGAUAUAUUUAUAUUUAAUUUAUUGAAUAUUA